AUGGAUAAUCUCCAAAGACGAGGAUGGUCAUCAAACAACUCUUUUUCGUUGUGCCUGGUCCAUCAUGAGGAUUACACCCACUUUUUUGUGCACUGCAGGUUCAUGCAACAACUUUGGAGGGCGUUCCAACAGUGGAAAGGGGAUAAUUUCGCCACUCCCAAUGAAAGUUUCAGUAGCACGAAGGACUGGUGGCUAAUGACCAGCAAGGCGAUCCUGAAGCCUGCUCGUCGUAAUUUCGACACCAUAGCCAUUCUGAUACACUAGAGGGUCUAGAAGGAGCGGGACGCUAGAACCUUUGAUCACAUUGCCUGCAGCAUUGAACGAGUCCUCGAACAAAUCAGAGAGGAUAUCAGCAUCUAGAGGGCCGCUGGUUGUGUGGCUGACCUAGGGAGCUGA
rnacentral:rRNA from 1 species